rnacentral:rRNA from 1 species
AUGACGCUGGCGGCAGGCCUAACACAUGCAAGUCGAGCGGUAGCACAGAGAGCUUGCUCUCGGGUGACGAGCGGCGGACGGGUGAGUAAUGUCUGGGAAACUGCCUGAUGGAGGGGGAUAACUACUGGAAACGGUAGCUAAUACCGCAUAACGUCGCAAGACCAAAGUGGGGGACCUUCGGGCCUCAUGCCAUCAGAUGUGCCCAGAUGGGAUUAGCUAGUAGGUGGGGUAACGGCUCACCUAGGCGACGAUCCCUAGCUGGUCUGAGAGGAUGACCAGCCACACUGGAACUGAGACACGGUCCAGACUCCUACGGGAGGCAGCAGUGGGGAAUAUUGCACAAUGGGCGCAAGCCUGAUGCAGCCAUGCCGCGUGUGUGAAGAAGGCCUUCGGGUUGUAAAGCACUUUCAGCGGGGAGGAAGGCGGUGAGGUUAAUAACCUCAUCGAUUGACGUUACCCGCAGAAGAAGCACCGGCUAACUCCGUGCCAGCAGCCGCGGUAAUACGGAGGGUGCAAGCGUUAAUCGGAAUUACUGGGCGUAAAGCGCACGCAGGCGGUCUGUCAAGUCGGAUGUGAAAUCCCCGGGCUCAACCUGGGAACUGCAUUCGAAACUGGCAGGCUAGAGUCUUGUAGAGGGGGGUAGAAUUCCAGGUGUAGCGGUGAAAUGCGUAGAGAUCUGGAGGAAUACCGGUGGCGAAGGCGGCCCCCUGGACAAAGACUGACGCUCAGGUGCGAAAGCGUGGGAGCAAACAGGAUUAGAUACCCUGGUAGUCCACGCUGUAAACGAUGUCGAUUUGGAGGUUGUGCCCUUGAGGCGUGGCUUCCGGAGCUAACGCGUUAAAUCGACCGCCUGGGGAGUACGGCCGCAAGGUUAAAACUCAAAUGAAUUGACGGGGGCCCGCACAAGCGGUGGAGCAUGUGGUUUAAUUCGAUGCAACGCGAGAACCUUACCUGGUCUU